UGGCGUAUUGCUUUGGGGUGCCGGCGGUUGGGUUCAGUGGCUUUGGAAGAUAUGAUUGGUUUUGAGAAUGACCAUUAGCACUACUUUGAGACUCAUUUUGAGAAUGACCGCCACCGCCGUGCCAAUGACCCGUAUCCGCAACCCCUGAAGCCGACAAAUGUCCCAAUGAGUCUCAGCAGCCAGGAGUUGUACUUCCUAUUGGCGAUCCUGUAGGUUUGCAUCAUAUAUAUAAGGAAGUUGCAAGUCCUAUCGGUAAUGCUAUUACUAAUGAGAUUCAAGUUGUACCUCUUGAGUCUGGCCCAACUACUUGCACGGUUGGAAGCUCAGUUACAAUCUUUAUCUGCUAACCAAGUUUUUCCUUGUACUUCCAUGGCACAAUAACAAUGUGUAAGUGCAGGUUGCUGAACCAAGUUUCUCUUUGUACGUCCAUGGCACAUUAACGAUGUGUAAAUGUAAUAGAAUUAGAAUUAUAAAAUCACAUGAUCAGUAUCAGGAAAAUAACAUAGGUGGCACCUAGUCAAUGACCUCUUAGUAUUUUAAGUAAUGUGAUUGCGUAGCAUUAUAACAUGUUUAUCUUCAUGUGGUUCCUAGUCCUUUUGGCUUUGAAUUUCUCUACUUCUUUGUAUAUUUCAAAUGAGCAGGUUAAUUUUUUUUUUAGAAGUGUGGUCUGGAAUUUUUCAGUAGCAAUAAUGCCACAUUUAUUGGUUUAGUCUCAGGUUUUAUAUCUAUAUUUUCCUGUUCCUUUCAAUGUAUAACACAAUAAACAACCUGUUGUUAAGCGGCAGUUUUUUCUCCUGAAGAAAUGGUAAAAUUUCCCAAUUCCAAUGCAUGUGUAUUUUCUUCUUCCGUUGGAGGUAUGACAAAAUAACGGCUUAUUUUUCAAGAAGCAGAACUUUUUAUGCAGAUAAAAUGAUGAAAUUUCCCAGAAACCUGUCGGUGAUGCAGUUUUUCACUUAUCUAGGAAUUAUGUUUAAAACUACUUAUUUGGUUUUUACCGGCAGUCCAUUUACUGUAAACAUGUAUCCUUUUUUAUGUUUGCCGAUCAAGUUACCACUUAUCCAUUGAUUAUGAUUUGUGGAUCUGUUGCUUCUAUAUGAAUCUUGCCCGUCAUAUAUUUCUAGGAGUCUGUUUUCCGCUGGGAAAGGGCAUGUAUCGUGUGCUUCAUAUACCAGUAGAUGAAGCUGUUCUCUUGAACUCUAGGGAGAAGGCACCGUACAUGAUCUGCUUAGAAGUUUUGAGAUGUGAAAUGCCAAGUAAUUUCAAGGAGACAUCCAGUUCUCAGAAGCUUUCUCAAGGUGGAAUUCCUUUGGCAAAUGGAGAUGCUUUCUUGCAAAAACCACCCCCUUGGGAAUAUCCGUUACGGACAGCACAAGAGGUUUACCGUAAUAGCAAUGAUAGGAUGUCCAGAUCAACUGCUGAGGCAAUUGACCAGGCAAUGACUCAUGUAUCUCAGCCUAAAACAAAAUUUGUUAGCUUGAAUCUUUCGGUGGAAACAUGAUAUAAUGGUCAGGCAGGGAAGACUUAUAGAGAGGGUGUACGUGAAGCAGUAGGAGCCGAACAUGACAGUGAUCUGGAAUGGGUACAAAUAGUGUUGACAGCUGAUCCUGGGGUUAGAUUGGAAGAUAUUGAGGAUCAAGCACCACCUCGGAAGAAGGAACAUCGUCGUGUUCCAAGUACAGUGGCAAUAGAAGAAGUAAAGGCUGCCGCAGCAAAAGGGGAAGCGCCUCUCGGACUCCCUUUGAAAGGUGUUGGCCAAGACUCAUCAGAUGCACAACCGAUGGCUAAUGGAAUUACUCCUAAGGCCAGUGAUGCUUUGUCUGGUGAACUUUGGGAUGCAAAGAAAGAAAGGGUACGCAAGGAUUCGAUAUAUGGGAAGUUACCUGGUUGGGACUUGCGAUCGGUAAGCAUGUAUUUUUAAGCACAAGAAAUGUCUUUAUAUGUAGUUAGUUACCUGUUUUGGAAAUUCAAUAAUUUAUGAACUCAAUGAUAUAUACAUAAAAAUGGUACUCCCUCCUGUCCUUUCUAUAAAAGACAAUCGGGUCAACAAAAAUUGAUGUAUUUGAUCUAUAAUAUUGACCUAACUGUCUUUAAUAAAAAGAACUGGAAGUAGUAUUGUUUAUGAAUUCACAUAUGGUAUUUAUGCAGUAUCUAGAAAAAAGCAGUUUCUUGUGUCAAAAGCUCCACUAUCAUGUCGUUUUUUUUUAUAUCAUUAUUAAUGACUCAAUAAAGAACGGUUGGCAUAUGUUCUAUA